UGGGCUCUGGCCCAAGUGAGGCCUGGAUAGA
rnacentral:piRNA from 2 species